UACGUAGGGUGCGAGCGUUAAUCGGAAUUACUGGGCGUAAAGCGUGCGCAGGCGGUUCGUUGUGUCCGUCGUGAAAGCCCCGGGCUUAACCUGGGAAUGGCGAUGGAUACUGGCUCGCUAGAGUGCGGUAGAGGAGAGUGGAAUUCCCGGUGUAGCAGUGAAAUGCGUAGAGAUCGGGAGGAACAUCAGUUGCGAAGGCGGCUCUCUGGACCAGCACUGACACUGAGGCACGAAAGCGUGGGGAGCAAACAGG
rnacentral:rRNA from 1 species